CAAUAGCGUAUAUUUAGGUUGUUGCAGUUAAAAAGCUCGUAGUCGGAUUUUGGCUGAGAACGAUCGGUCCGCCGUUAGGUGUGCACUGAUUGGUCUCAGCUUCCUGGUGAGGAGGUGUGCUUCACGGCCACUUAGUCACCGUGGUUACUUUGAAAAAAUUAGAGUGUUCAAAGCGGGCUUACGCUUGAAUAUAUUAGCAUGGAAUAACACCAUAGGACUCCUGUCCUAUUUCGUUGGUCUCGGGACGGGAGUAAUGAUUAAGAGGAACAGUUGGGGGCAUUCGUAUUUCAUUGUCAGAGGUGAAAUUCUUGGAUUUAUGAAAGACGAACUUCUGCGAAAGCAUUUGCCAAGGAUGUUUUCAUUGA
rnacentral:rRNA from 1 species